rnacentral:rRNA from 1 species
AGAGUUUGAUCAUGGCUCAGAUUGAACGCUGGCGGCAGGCUUAACACAUGCAAGUCGAGCGGUAACAGGGGGAGCUUGCUUCCCGCUGACGAGCGGCGGACGGGUGAGUAAUGCUUAGGAAUCUGCCCAGUAGUGGGGGAUAGCCCGGGGAAACCCGGAUUAAUACCGCAUACGUCCUACGGGAGAAAGCAGGGGGAUCUUCGGGACCUUGCGCUAUUGGAUGAGCCUAAGUCGGGAUUAGCUAGUUGGGGGGGGUAAAGGCCUACCAAGGGGGACGAUCCGUAGCUGGUCUGAGAGGAUGAUCAGCCACAUCGGGACGAGACACGGCCCGAACUCCUACGGGAGGCACCAGUGGGGAAUAUUGGACAAGGGGGGCAACCCUGAUCCAGCCAUGCCGCGUGUGUGAAGAAGGCUUUCGGGUUGUAAAGCACUUUCAGUAGGAAGGAAAACCUUAUGGCUAAUACCCAUGAGGCUUGACGUUACCUACAGAAGAAGCACCGGCUAACUCCGUGCCAGCAGCCGCGGUAAUACGGAGGGUCCAAGCGUUAAUCGGAAUUACUGGGCGUAAAGCGCGCGUAGGUGGUUUGGUAAGCGAGAUGUGAAAGCCCCGGGCUUAACCUGGGAACGCCAUUUCGAACUGUCAGACUAGAGUGUGGUAGAGGGUAGUGGAAUUUCCUGUGUAGCGGUGAAAUGCGUAGAUAUAGGAAGGAACACCAGUGGCGAAGGCGGCUACCUGGACCAACACUGACACUGAGGUGCGAAAGCGUGGGGAGCAAACAGGAUUAGAUACCCUGGUAGUCCACCCCGUAAACUUUGUCAACUAGCCGUUGGGACUCUUGAAGUCUUAGGGGCGCAGCUAACGCACUAAGUGACCGCGGGUGAGGGGGGGGCCGGCC